ensembl:snRNA U6 U6 spliceosomal RNA
GGGCUCACUUCAACAGCAUAUAUAUGAGAAGUGGAAUGAUACAGAGAUCAGCAGGGCCCCUGCCCAAGGAUGACAUGAAAAUUCAUGGAAUGUUCCAUUCAAAA